GCAUCAAAAGGGAAUGGCACAUAUCUGGAGCAUGACAUCUUAAGUGAGCGCAGCAAGCUAUGAACGUGGGGUGACAAGGGGGCCAUAUCCUUAAUGGUGUAUCUUCCUUUCCUAGAGCUCAGGUUCUCAAGGCAGUGGGAGCUCCUGAAGGCGCCCUCAGUUGGGUGUUGGGGUGGGGGUGGGGAUGGUGGAGGUUCAUAUGGUACAGGCUUCUUAGGGGGCCACUUUAGCCAUCUAGGCCAGAUAUGAUGAAGGUUUGAACUACCUUCAGCUGUGAGCAGAGAGGGGUCAGGGGGGGCCUAAAUGGGUGGAGUCUAUCUGACAGAAAGGCUCUCCAGCAGCUUUUCCUCUCUUGAGCUUCUCAUCCUGCCUCUUAAUCCAAGUCAUAGUAUUAUAGAGACAGAAGAGAACCUGGAGAUCCUGUGGAUCAAUUCCUCUUCCAUUACACAGUCGGGACAUGCUUUGGCCAAGGUAAAGAAGAGAAAUGGCUGCCGCGUGGGGCCCGUGAUGAUGCGCUGGUUCAGUCUGAAGGUUGAAUCUGCCUGCUGGUGACUUUGCAUCUGACGGCUGUCUCCUCUCCAGUUCCUGAAAAAGAAUCCUCUGAGCUCCAGAUGACUUUUGGCUUCUUCUUCUUUGGUUCUAUGCAAGUACACAGAGAAAGAGGCAUCAUUUAGGUCCUUGAAAGCCAAGUGCUUCCCUUUCCGGCUCGUCUCUGCCCCACCUCCACCACACUGGACUGCGAGCUCCGUCAGGACGGGGCUGCUGCCUGUCGCUACUGCUCCUGCGCCUAGCAGAAGGCCUGGACCUGGUGGUGGUCCCUAAAUGCUGCCAAGCGGAGGCUGCAGAGGCCGUGGACUCUGCUGCUUACACGUAUGAGACCAAGGAGACAGGGAGGCAGGGCAUCUGUGUGAUCCUCACCGGUAAGAAAAAUGGGGCUCCGCGAUCCAAUGCAGUGACUUGCCCAGAGCCCCUCAACACUCAGGCUACACCUGCCCAGGUCAGUCCCAGCCUCAGGGGUCCAAUAUGGGGUGGCGGGUGUGUGUGGGUCCUGGAGGCCCAGAAUGCAAAGCACCUGCUAAGAUAGAGAAAACCAGGCAGGUGACCCUGCUGAGACACUGGUCCCGACACAUGUCCUGCCCAGACUUGCACUAUUUUGUCUGUUUUCUUUCCUGUGGUAACUCUCAGAGACCUGAAGAUGGCCCCAGUGGCCCAUGAGCCUUCCUGCCUCUCGGCCCAAGAUCUAGAAAGCAGGUUUCUAAGCCCCAUGACAUCCUGGGGCACCCCCCUGACCAUCCCUUUCCACUUCUCAGACAACCCUGUGUGCAGGGAGGAACCCUGGGAGGGACCCAGAGCCCCAGCAGGGAGGGGUAGGUGUUCCCUCUUGGCCACCCCCUCUGGGGAGCACUUUCUCAAUUUUUAUAUGGCUCUGCUCAGAGGAUGCUUCUCAGUGGGAGUGAGCAGUUCUUUUUAAGACACACCUACCUUGCCCCAGGCUCAGGGCUUAGGCUCCUCAGCAUCUUAUUCUUCUAGAGUCAUCCUGACGGGCCAGAUGCAUCAUUGUUUUUCAUUUUGUAGAUGAGGAAACUGAGGCACAAAGGGAUGAAGUGACUGGCCUGGGAGCCCCUGGCCAGGAGAUGGUGAAGCUGGGAUUUGAACCCAGGUACCUUUUGAGAAGCACAUGCUCCACUGCAGUGACCUACAGCCUUGUAUUUCCCUGAGGACGGCUGCCUCUCGCUGCCCUCCCCCAGCCCUGCCAGGCAGGCAUUCUGGCUGCACCUGUCGGCCUCCUUGGGGCCUGGGCCUUCCUGGAGACGCCGUUUAGGGGAGCCCACGAGGCCGUGACAGCAGAGUGAGGGGAAAGGGUUGUGUGGGGACUUGGACAGUUGCCCUCAGCUGGAGGGAGAGCCUGCAGCACCCAGCUUCCUUCAGGGGCCAGUGGGGGGCUGGGCUCUGUGACAUCAGCUGCUCCUCCGCAGCCCCAGCUUGGCCGCCCUCCUGACUCUCAAGCCACCGUUCUGGAUGGUUCAUGGUGGAGCCCAGCCACGAGCUUUUCCUAGCCAGCCAGCCACAGCCAGAUGCAGUCUGGCAGGGUUUGAGGAGGGGAGACAGGCUGGACACGAGAGGGAGAAGUGGAGGGGAGCUGUUGGACUUUGGAAUUAAAUGCACUGAAGCAAUGGCCAUAGUGGCUUGGGAAUCGGCAACUCUGGAGCUCUUACACCGUUUGCUUUAAUUGCACUCAGUGUUUGAAUUUGAAUAAGUAAUACACUCCCACGGGUUAAGGAAAGGAUUUAUUGUGGAAGGUCCUCCUCCAGCCUGUGUGUCCAGCAGCGUGGCUCCUCUUCCCAGAGGCAAUCAUGGUUUCUGUGUGUCUCUCCAGAGAUGAUCUGAGCACACAUGAGCAGAUAUGUAUAGAGGGUAUUUAUUUAUUUUAUUUAUUUUUAUUUUUAUUUUUUAUUUUUAUUAUUUUUUUAGAGGGUAUUUUAAAACAUUUGCAUACUAUGCAGAAAAUAAUGUUUUGCGCAUUGCU